CCUACGGGAGGCAGCAGUGAGGAAUAUUGGUCAAUGGGCGCAAGCCUGAACCAGCCAAGUCGCGUGAGGGAUGACUGCCCUAUGGGUUGUAAACCUCUUUUAUAAAGGAAUAAAGUGCGGCACGUGUGCCGUUUUGUAUGUACUUUAUGAAUAAGGAUCGGCUAACUCCGUGCCAGCAGCCGCGGUAAUACGGAGGAUCCGAGCGUUAUCCGGAUUUAUUGGGUUUAAAGGGUGCGUAGGCGGCUUUUUAAGUCAGUGGUGAAAGUUUGUGGCUCAACCGUAAAAUUGCAGUUGAUACUGGGAGUCUUGAGUAUGGUUGAGGCAGGCGGAAUUCGUGGUGUAGCGGUGAAAUGCUUAGAUAUCACGCAGAACCCCGAUUGCGAAGGCAGCCUACCAAGCCAUCACUGACGCUGAUGCUCGAAAGCGUGGGUAUCAAACAGGAUUAGAUACCCCGGUAGUC
rnacentral:rRNA from 1 species